rnacentral:rRNA from 1 species
AUGAACGCUGGCGGCGUGCCUAAUACAUGCAAGGCGAGCGAACGGACGAGAAGCUUGCUUCUCUGAUGUUAGCGGCGGACGGGUGAGUAACACGUGGAUAAACUACCUAUAAGACUGGGAUAACUUCGGGAAACCGGAGCUAAUACCGGAUAAUAUUUUGAACCGCAUGGUUCAAAAGUUAAAGACGGUCUUGCUGUCACCUAUAGAUGGAUCCGCGCUGCAUUAGCUAGUUGGUAAGGUAACGGCUUACCAAGGCAACGAUGCAUAGCCGACCUGAGAGGGUGAUCGGCCACACUGGAACUGAGACACGGUCCAGACUCCUACGGGAGGCAGCAGUAGGGAAUCUUCCGCAAAGGGCGAAAGCCUGACGGAGCAACGCCGCGUGAGUGAUGAAGGUCUUCGGAUCGUAAAACUCUGUUAUUAGGGAAGAACAUAUGUGUAAGUAACUGUGCACAUCUUGACGGUACCUAAUCAGAAAGCCACGGCUAACUACGUG